UCCUGGCUCAGAUUGAACGCUAGCGGGAUGCUUUACACAUGCAAGUCGAACGGCAGCACGAGAGAGCUUGCUCUCUUGGUGGCGAGUGGCGGACGGGUGAGUAAUAUAUCGGAACGUGCCUAGUAGCGGGGGAUAACUACUCGAAAGAGUGGCUAAUACCGCAUACGCCCUACGGGGGAAAGGGGGGGAUCGCAAGACCUCUCACUAUUAGAGCGGCCGAUAUCGGAUUAGCUAGUUGGUGGGGUAAAGGCUCACCAAGGCAACGAUCCGUAGCUGGUUUGAGAGGACGACCAGCCACACUGGGACUGAGACACGGCCCAGACUCCUACGGGAGGCAGCAGUGGGGAAUUUUGGACAAUGGGGGAAACCCUGAUCCAGCCAUCCCGCGUGUAUGAUGAAGGCCUUCGGGUUGUAAAGUACUUUUGGCAGAGAAGAAAAGGUACCUCCUAAUACGAGGUACUGCUGACGGUAUCUGCAGAAUAAGCACCGGCUAACUACGUGCCGGCAGCCGCGGUAAUACGUAGGGUGCAAGCGUUAAUCGGAAUUACUGGGCGUAAAGCGUGUGUAGGCGGUUCGGAAAGAAAGAUGUGAAAUCCCAGGGCUUAACCUUGGAACUGCAUUUUUAACUGCCGAGCUAGAGUAUGUCAGAGGGGGGUAGAAUUCCACGUGUAGCAGUGAAAUGCGUAGAUAUGUGGAGGUAUACCGAUGGCGAAGGCAGCCCCCUGGGAUAAUACUGACGCUCAGACACGAAAGCGUGGGGAGCAAACAGGAUUAGAUACCCUGGUAGUCCACGCCCUAAACGAUGUCAACUAGCUGUUGGGGCCGUUAGGCCUUAGUAGCGCAGCUAACGCGUGAAGUUGACCGCCUGGGGAGUACGGUCGCAAGAUUAAAAUUCAAAGGAAUUGACGGGGACCCGCACAAGCGGUGGAUGAUGUGGAUUAAUUCGAUGCAACGCGAAAAACCUUACCUACCCUUGACAUGUCUGGAAUCCCGAAGAGAUUUGGGAGUGCUCGCAAGAGAACCGGAACACAGGUGCUGCAUGGCUGUCGUCAGCUCGUGUCGUGAGAUGUUGGGUUAAGUCCCGCAACGAGCGCAACCCUUGUCAUUAGUUGCUACGCAAGAGCACUCUAAUGAGACUGCCGGUGACAAACCGGAGGAAGGUGGGGAUGACGUCAAGUCCUCAUGGCCCUUAUGGGUAGGGCUUCACACGUCAUACAAUGGUCGGGACAGAGGGUCGCCAACCCGCGAGGGGGAGCCAAUCUCAGAAACCCGAUCGUAGUCCGGAUCGCAGGCUGCAACUCGACUGCGUGAAGUCGGAAUCGCUAGUAAUCGCGGAUCAGAAUGUCGCGGUGAAUACGUUCCCGGGUCUUGUACACACCGCCCGUCACACCAUGGGAGUGGGUUUCACCAGAAGUAGGUAGCCUAACCGUAAGGAGGGCGCUUACCACGGUGGGAUUCAUGACUGGGGUGAAGUCGUAACAAGGUAGCC
rnacentral:rRNA from 1 species